CAAGUGUGAAGCAGGGUGAAAUGAUUCAUUCCCUGGCUAUCAAAACAGGCUAUAUAGCUGAGAUGACCGUUUGUGGGAGUUUGGUUGAUAUGUAUGCUAAAAUAGGAAACCUUGCAGCUGCAGAGCUUACGUUUACCUGUGUAACCACGCCUAAUCUAAAAUGCUGGAACUCAAUUCUCGGAGGAUAUGGUUACCAUGGGAAGGCAAACCUGUGUAACCACGCCUAAUCUGAAAUGCUGGAACUCAAUUCUCGGAGGAUAUGGUUACCAUGGGAAGGCAAAGGAUUCAUUUAAGGUGUUCAAUGAUAUUUUACAACAUGGCCUAAAACCAGAUCCUGUAACAUUUAUCUCUCUGCUUGCGGCCUGUAGCCACUGUGGAUUGGUCAACCAGGGUAUAUUCUUCUGGAAUUACAUGAAAGGUAUUGGUUUAGAACCAAGCCUUAAGCAUUUUAUUCUUGCA
rnacentral:lncRNA from 1 species